GAGGCAGCUGUGUACGUUCACAUCGUUAACACAAAAAUUCACCCAUUAAUCCAUCCAAUUAAAUUUUAAGAUAUUUCACAAAUAUGGAAAUCGACAUUUGAGUCACAUUUUCUUAAACUAAGGGACAAUUUAAUCGGCUUAAUUUAGUUUAAAACAAAAAUGGAGAAUAUUAUGACGCAGUUAACUUGCACCAUUUGGUACUUUUCCAGAACCAAUGCCAAAGUAAAUCAGGACGAAAGCGGGACAACACGACAAAAAGGAAAAAGAGAGAGAGAGAAGUGUAGUAGUUCUUUUUUGGCGAAUCAAAACAACAAGAACAGAAACUCCCAAAGAAAAGAAAAAAUGUCUUGUUAAAAGUUGCACUGUCGAGAGAAAAGACGAAUGAUUUACAUAGGACCUUGGCCAAGGAUAUACACCAAAAACUUAAGAGCGUGACAACACGCCCGUCCGUAUAAAGACGACGAAUUGAAAAAGAAGGGCUCGAGAACUGGGAAAGAGAGAGUCCACGCAAUCACGUUCUUUUUCUCGCUUUUUUCACUUACGUUUCGCACUGCGAUUUAGUUUGUUUCUAUUCUAUAUAUUUUACAGUUAGAAAUCGCCAGAAGGAAAUGUGACCUCCUCCUCUUAAAUAUCGGUGGCAUAGGUAAGGGUUCAAAUCAAACAUACCUGUACGGACGCAUUCCUCUGUGAAACAAACCGUCGCAUCAGUUGUCAAUGGACCUGGAAAUCGGAAAACAAACAAACAUUAAGUUUAUUUUUGAAAAUUUAAAGUCCACGAAGCAAAUGGCGAAAAAUACGAAAAUAUACUUGAACACUAAGAGGAAUCCUUCAAUGUCAAGAAAAAAAAAAGAAAAAAGGGGAGCCGUCCCGAAAUGGGAAGGUCAUCGCAAAUACAUUUUUAAAGCCCCGAAAAGGUUUCGAUCCGAAACGGCCACAAUGAAACAGCAAUAGGCACUCACACGUCCGGUUGCCCCGAUCUAUCAGAGUGGACCCUCCACACAUCAAGAAGGAGAUGCUCUGGACAGUUACGUGACCAGAGUAUUGAAAUCUCUGAUGGAACGAACUCAUUUUUGUUUUAUUUACCCGUUUGGUUGCUUCGUGACCUGCCCUUUUUGUUUUUGUCUCUGGACAUGUCUGUCGUUGACUUGAAGAAAAAUGACUUUACUCGUAAACCUCAA